CCCCAGGACAUUCAGAGUGGGCAGCUGGCUCUAACAGUGGCAGCAGUGACAAGGAAGUAACUGCAACAUGGUGGACGUGCGUUUCAUCUUUGAAUUGCGGAAGCAGAUAAUUAAGCGGUACUGGAAGUGUGAGAAUGCAGCUGCGGUUCGAAGACAGUGGAGAAACAUCAAUAUCAAAGAAGAAAUAAACAUCAGAACAUAAAAAGUCAAGAGAUUUAUUUUCAUUAUGGUUAAAAAAGCAAACGUAUUUCAAGAAGUUCAAAGACUGAGAUAUACAAAACUCUUGUCAUAUAUAUUCUGAAUAUGACUGUGAGACAUGGUCACUAACAAAAUCAUAAGAAGCAAAAUUAAAGAUUUAGAAAUGAAAAUUUUCAAGAAUAUAUCUCGAGGGAUUAAAGGUAAAUAGCACAGCAGAUCGCAAGAUAUUACCAAACAAAGAAGUAUGCAAUCUGUCUGGAGAAUCAGACAUCAUAUCUCAAAGUAGAACUAGGGGACUUCACCACAUUGGACAUGUACUUCAAACUGCAGAAAACUGGAAAAUCUAUCAAGUAUGCACAGAACAUCAUCAAGGAAGGUUACCUAUUGGAAUGUCAAUACUACACUAUUUUGACAACAUCAGAGAAGAUAUGGUAAUGUGACAAGUAAUAAAAUGACAAAUUAAUUAGCAAAAUUACCUGAAAAAGUACUGUGGCAUCAUCAGGGAAAAACUUUCAUAGC